rnacentral:lncRNA from 1 species
GGAACAAGUAGCUACUCAGUCCAAGAAGCUGGAGCCUCAGAACACCAGGUAUCCUUGAUGCCACCCCAGUGCAGGCCUGAAGGCUCGGAAUCUUCCUGGAGAGUCACUGGGAGAGUCUUCUUUGGAAGAGUGAAGGAGCUGGUGUCUGAUGUUCCUAGGCAAUGACAGCAGCAAUCAAGAACCUGCUCAAGAAGAACAGAGCUUGCAUCUGCUGCUGCUUCCUUAUUCUUCCAACUUGUAUUCCAUCCAAGCCUCAACCUAUUGCAUGGUUAUGUCCACACUUAGGAAGGGUCUCCAGUUCAUUCCUAGGAACACCCUCAUUGAGACCACCAGAAGCCUCUUAAUCUCCAGCAUAUCUUAAUCCAAUCAAGUUGAAAAUGCAGAUUAGCCAUCACAUGUAUCUUAAAGAGUCUUUUUGUUUCUGAUUAUAAAAUCAUACCUUUUACAUUAAAAAGUAAUACAUACAUGCUGGUAAAAUCUGCAAAACUUCAGAAGUGGAAAAUAUUUGAAAUAAAGUUCCCCAUGAUGCUGUUCAACAGCAGCUAUUACAAGCUUUUAGUUUUCCUUUGUUUGAUUACUCAUGGUAAUUAAUGAUAAUGUGCUCAUAAAAUGGAACCAUACAAUACAUAAUAUUUGUACUUUAUUUAGUUGAUAUUCUUUUUAUGUUGAGACAAGUCCACAAGACCUUUUAUCCCAUCUCUUGGAGGGAAUAUAUUGAGGGAUUGGAAAAUUUUUGGAUUUUGAAAAGUUUAAUAUUCCAAAUAGGACUUGAGGCAACACCUGUAAUUGAACAAGUUAAUGUAACUGCAGUGGAUUUAUCUUUUCCUGUCAGUUCAUUGCAAGUUGACUAGAAAAUUGCAAACAUCUAAAUAAACAUCUAGAUAAACACAGGGUAUUGAACGUAAGCAAAUAUUAUAUUUUAAUGCUUUUUAGACUUGUACAUAUCUGUGUGCCCUUUCCAACUGUCUGUCCACCUGUGUUUCUAACCUUUUAUCCAUUCUCUUGUUUUCCCGUAACAAAGCUAGGGGAAAAUAUAUUAAUAUAUUUAAUAUUUAAUACAUAGAUGUAAUUGUAUGUAUUGAUGUACUUUUUUGCAGUGCUGAAUAUAUGUGUUUCUAAAAGAUACAAUAAAUCCUGAAGGGAUACUAUUGCUUCUAAUUUAAAUUUAGGACUUCAAAAUUUACUUCAUUUAUUUUAAAUCUGUUUUAUUUUUCUAAGUUUAAAGACACAAACAUAAUAAUUAUUAUUAGUUUUAAUUACACAAUAUAGACAGAGUCAGGAAAAUAGUAUCAGUACUAUUGCCAACAUUUUUUUGGGUGUGGGUACCAGGGAUUGAACUGAAGAGCACUUGACCACUGAGCCACAUCCCCAGCCCUAUUUUGUACUUUAUUCAGAGACAGGGUCUCACUGAGUUGCUUAGGGCCUUGCUUUUGCUGAGGAUGGCUUUGAACUCUCGAUCCUCCUGCCUAAUUCCUCCCAGGCUGCUGGGAUUAUAGGCGUGUGCCUUUGUGCCCAGUUUAUUGCCAACAUUUUUAAAAGCAAUUCUUCCCCUGCUUAGAGUAUAUCAUAGUAGAUAUUAAAGUUAAAUUAUUUGCUGUAAAGACGUGGAAUACUCUUCUCUAUGUUGUUGUUUACAAUUGGAAAUACAAGUCUGUUUGAUUCAUUCCUUUCAGAGUAUGGAGAGUGCUCCUCCUCUUGCUAAUCACAAUUUUUUAUUGUUAA